rnacentral:miRNA from 1 species
UGCAAAAGUAAUUGCGGUUUUUGCCAUUAAAAGCAAUGACAAAAACUGUAGUUACUUUUGCACC